UACGUAGGAGGCGAGCGUUGUCCGGAAUCAUUGGGCGUAAAGCGCGCGUAGGUGGCCUCAUAAGUCCGCUGUGAAAGUCAAAGGCUCAACCUUUGAAAGCCGGUGGAUACUGUGGGGCUAGAGUACGGAAGAGGCGAGUGGAAUUCCUGGUGUAGCGGUGGAAUGCGCAGAUAUCAGGAGGAACACCAAUAGCGAAGGCAGCUCGCUGGGACGUUACUGACACUGAGGCGCGAAAGCGUGGGGAGCGAACAGG
rnacentral:rRNA from 1 species